AGAGAGAGACAUAUCAACUCUGCUGUCCUGGUCUGAUAAUUAGCUAUAGCUUAUAUGUCUGAGGUGAUGGCACAAUGGAUUCAUUUAUCAACAUCCUUUGAAGAAAUAGCUUCAGCGAUGCAGAAGCCAGUGUAUACUGCAAACACAUUGUGAAUCCUUCAGGUAAAGCAGCCACGAAUCAGUAUGGCAAACUUCCACUCAAAAUCACUUUGUAAAGAUUUAUGGCUCUAAAGGAGGUUGUGGCUAUUGCUUUAUCGAAUCAUUUUAAAGCAUCAACAGGCUGGACCUUUCUUGGUGUUCCUAUGUCCACUUGUAGACUAAUCUUAAGCCUCUUCUGCAGCAAAUUAGGGAGAUAUUGCGAGGGUGGUUUUGGAAAACUAUUGCCUUUUUGAGUUGGGGGUAGUUUUAUUCAGCAAUUUCUUCUGCCAUCCCUGUUUAUUUUGUUCUCACAUUGCGAGGGUACCUUUGAGGGUGGUGGAUCCGAUUGAAUCCAUGAUGCAGGCUUUCUGUGGGCAGUGGCGGUACACAAGUCUCUGGUUUGUAGGCUGAAGGGAAGCAAUGGAAUCUUGAGUUACUUGAACUGUUUAGGGACAACCUAGCUAGAACUAUAGCGUUGGUUCCAAUUCUGAGAGGUCAGUGGGAGGGCAGGUUAGGUUGGGCUAUGUCAUUGGUUUGAAAUGAUUUGGAGCAUUUACUUGGACUCCUGAGGGAGGAUCCACCUCUGAAAUCAAAACUAUGGUAAAUUAUGCUGGCUGAUUGCUCCGGAAUGCUUGGAAAUGCCUCGACUCAUUGCAGAGAAAGCUGUGGGCUGUGCGUCAGAAUCUAUGAUCGCUGUUCGGUGCACAAUAUCGACAGGUCUGCCUGGUGCUGUGCUGUGCAAGUGAGACCAUCCGACCCCAACACCCUGUUAACACAUCUCCUUCUGGUCGCCCCACCCAUCCGGACUUUGAAGAUCAGCUUCCAUGCUUCAUUUUAUCGCCAUAACCAAUGUUGUUGGUGUAGGUUUUGUUGUCUGGGUUGCAAAGCCAUGUCAUUUGUUCCAAUUGCACCAAGGCUGUUCUCUUGGAUGUCAUGUCUGUUUCACAAUCAGAGCUUCUUCUGUUGGCCUUGUGGGCAAUUACCUUUGCUAUGAAGGGCGACUCCGCUACGUGAUCAAAUAGGUUUCCUCAACUUUGAUGUCUUAUUUCACCUUGUUUGCUGGAUACCGGGGUGGCCUCUUAAAAACAUUCAGUCACACACCUUUUGGAAAAGGAAUAGCAUGGUAUAUGCUAUCUGAUCUGUACAGGUGGCGAUUUAAGCUGCACCAUCAGAUACGACCCAAUCCAGUCUUCAUUGGAUGGGUUUUACUCGAUCCGUUUAGAAUUAGCGGUGAGGAUGGGCUUCGAUUUAAAACCUGCAGCAGGCCGAUACUGGGCCAGUGCGGGUGAUGGUGAUGCUUAUUCCAAGCCCAAGCCGAUUCUACAACCCUAAACCAUCCACUGAAUUUCCCAA